AGCUGGGUGGCAUCCGACUCAGCCUGGGCACCGGGAGCAGCUACGGGCUGCCCGUGGGCUGGAUGGACUCGACGCAGGAGGAGCAGGGGGUGUGGAAGCAGCUGCUGCAGCAGCCUGGGCGCUGGGUGGAGGCUCUGCUCCCCCUGAGGACCAACCUGGUCCCCCGGGUGUAGCCCCCAGGGAGCAGCUGGUGCCGGUGGGACUGAGGGGUCUGAGGGAUGGGGACCUGGGACUGUGCGGGCUGGGGUCUGUGCCCUCCUCUUCCAGCAGCAAUGAAGUGGCACCAGAGGGAACAUCUGGCAGCUUUUCCUUGCUCUGGGCACAUCUGGUGGCCAUUUAUUUCACAGGCCACCAUACCCCGACUUCUCCCUCCACUGUGGGGCUGCAGCUGCUGCGUCCCACUGCUCCCAGUGUGGGGCUGUGCCCUCCAGCACCGGCCUUGUCACAGCCCUGGCUGGGGUGAGGGGGUCACUGCUCUGGGGGAUGCCCCUUUUCCCACUGGGAUACCCCACACUGGGCUGUCCUGUCCCUCUGGGGCACCCACCUUGGCUCCCUGGCACUGGGCACUGCAGUCACCUGGGGCCACCCACCAAUUCCACCCUGGGGCCAGGAACAGCCAAAUCCCCAGAGCUUCUUCUGCAACCAGAAUCUGCCAGGACAGCCCCCUCCACUGGGGCUUUGGGGGGGCAGGAGGUGGAUGACAAUGACAAUGACACCAGAAAUUACAGGAAAAUCCUUUAUUGGUU